UACGAAGGGGGCUAGCGUUGUUCGGAAUUACUGGGCGUAAAGCGCACGUAGGCGGAUAUUUAAGUCAGGGGUGAAAUCCCGCAGCUCAACUGCGGAACUGCCUUUGAUACUGGGUAUCUUGAGUAUGGAAGAGGUUAGUGGAAUUGCGAGUGUAGAGGUGAAAUUCGUAGAUAUUCGGAAGAACACCAGUGGCGAAGGCGGCUCACUGGACCGGCAUUGACGCUGAGGUGCGAAAGCGUGGGGAGCGAACGGG
rnacentral:rRNA from 1 species